rnacentral:lncRNA from 1 species
UAAUAUAAAAUUAUAUCAAAAGUAUCAAAAAAGUUAAAAUCUAUUAGUUGUAAAUUGUAUGAAAGUAUUCAACAAAUAUAAAGAUAAAAUCUAUUAGUUAUAUCGAAUAAAAUUGUCAGAUACUAUGACAAAAAAUUGUCAGAUACGAUGAUUAAAUAAAAAUUAUCAUAACAAACAACAUUAUGGCUAAUGAUGCAAAAGUAUUAUAUCAAAUAAAAAUGUCGGAUAAAACGACAAAAUUAGCCGAUAAAACAUCAAUAAUAUCAAAGAUAUUCAUCGGAUUCAUCAACAAAAUAAAUUGUAUCGAAUAAAAUUGUCGGAUACGAUGAUUAAAUAAAAUUUAUUAUAACAACAUUGACAACAAUAACAGCGCAAGAUUACUAUAUCACACAAAUUGUCGGAUACGAAGAAAAAAGAAAAAAGAGAUCGAACAUGUUUGUCGGAUUCGUCAACGGAACAAUUAACGUGUCAAAUAAAUUGGCGGAUCAAU